AGUGAACGCUGGCGGCGUGCUUAACACAUGCAAGUCGAACGAGAACGGAUUAUAGCUUGCUAUAAUUGUCAGCUAAGUGGCGCACGGGUGAGUAAUGUAUAGGUAAUAUGCCUCUUACUAAGGGAUAACAAAUGGAAACGUUUGCUAAUACCUUAUACUCCUUAUUAACAGAAGUUAAUAAGGGAAAGAUUUAUUGGUAAGAGAUUAGCCUGUAUUGUAUCAGUUAGUUGGUGGGGUAAUGGCUUACCAAGACUAUGACACAUAACUGGUUUGAGAGGAUGAUCAGUCACACUGGAACUGAGGCACGGUCCAGACUCCUACGGGAGGCAGCAGUGGGGAAUAUUGCACAGUGGACGAAAGUCUGAUGCAGCAACGCCGCGUGGAGGAUGACACAUUUCGGUGCGUAAACUCCUUUUAUAUGAGAAGAUAAUGACGGUAUUAUAUGAAUAAGCACCGGCUAACUCCGUGCCAGCAGCCGCCGUAA
rnacentral:rRNA from 1 species